rnacentral:rRNA from 1 species
UACAGAGGUGGCAAGCGUUGUUCGGAAUUACUGGGCGUAAAGGGCGCGUAGGCGGCCUUCUAAGUCAGACGUGAAAUCCCCAGGCUUAACUUGGGAACUGCGUCUGAUACUGGAAGGCUUGAGUGCGGGAGAGGGAUGUGGAAUUCCAGGUGUAGCGGUGAAAUGCGUAGAUAUCUGGAGGAACACCGGUGGCGAAGGCGGCAUCCUGGACCGAUACUGACGCUGAGGCACGAAAGCGUGGGGAGCAAACAGG